UAAAAGAAGAUAAAAUCAAAGAGGGAUACAAAAUAGAAUUAGAUUUAUUUGUUUCAUGGAAUUUUUCUAUAACUUCUCUAUAAAACAACGUGACGAUCUGAUAAAUGCAUAUAUUGCCAAAUGAUUACCACAAUAAGAAUCAUGGACCUGUCUUCUGAGAUCAUUGAUUAUCUCACAAAAGUUCUUCAGCAAGUCCCUUGAUGUAGACUUAUUUAUGACAAUCUCUUUAUAUAUAAAUAAAAUAUGUAUUUCAUCUGAAAAUAUGUUUAGUCUGUCUUCCUUUUUGAUUUUUUUUUUCAGGAAUACAGAAGUUGAAAGUAGUUUUCUCCUAGCCCUUCAA